UAUUGGACAAUGGGCGCAAGCCUGAUCCAGCAAUACCGCGUGUGUGAAGAAGGCCUUAGGGUUGUAAAGCACUUUCAAUUGGGAGGAAAACCUGCCGGUCAAUACCCGGUAGCUUGACAUUACCUUUAGAAGAAGCACCGGCUAACUCCGUGCCAGCAGCCGCGGUAAUACGGAGGGUGCGAGCGUUAAUCGGAAUUACUGGGCGUAAAGCGUGCGUAGGCGGUUCGUUAAGUCAGAUGUGAAAGCCCUGGGCUCAACCUGGGAACUGCAUUUGAAACUGGCGGACUAGAGUUUAGUAGAGGGGAGUGGAAUUUCAGGUGUAGCGGUGAAAUGCGUAGAUAUCUGAAGGAACACCAGUGGCGAAGGCGACUCCCUGGACUAGAACUGACGCUGAGGUACGAAA
rnacentral:rRNA from 1 species